CCAAACUCGAAAGAGCUCCCCAUGUACUCCUGAUAUGAUUUUGAUAAAAUUUCAGCUCAAAUUUCGAUUCACGAUCAGGUUUAAAUCAUUUUACGCAUCUCUGUCUUUCCCCUCUCUCUCAGUCGUGAGGAAUCUUUGGAAGAAGAUCUCAAAACAAACAGAUCUGGUUCAUUGCGGAGGAUAUGUCUACUGUAUCCCAUGUAUUCCAAUUGCUUGAUAAGUUUUAGGGGGAAGCUGGUGUUAAUGACGACGGUGAAGUUCCUAAUAUCUUCAAAUGAGAAUGUAUAAUAUGGCUUGCAAUUUCGACAACUUAAUUGGAUUUUAGUCCUUUGUGAAUACCUGGUUCAAGCGACAAGAAUUAAUUUGUCGAAACCAUGACUCAAAGUUGGUUCUGUUGCCAACGAUUGCUCAUCGUUUUUUAAUCCCGGGGACAUGUACUACCUAAAGAUGAUCGAGAAGAAUAAGCAAUUCAACUGUUAAUGCUUUCAGUCUCUUGAAAGCUUGAGAAAGGCUUUUAUGGAGAUCAGUUCCACAUGCGCCAAACAAGAGUCUUUCUCAAGACUUACAUAGAUGGAACCUGCAACUGUUGAGAAAGGAUGUGGAUUUUCUAAGCAAUUGUUUGACACUUGGCUUGCAGGGUGUAAUGAAGGUCAAAGAUGAUAGAUGAGUCCCCCAAAUUAUGUUCCUAUGCUUGCAUCCCAAGAUGCGGCAAAACGGUGUAAGGUAUUUUGUCUAGUUGUAUAUUAUGUGGGCCUCAUGGAUAUGUUGCAUAUUAUGUGGGCCUGAAUGUUGGAUUAUUUGAAUUUUUACAACAGUGUACAUAGUUGUACACAACCGUUUAAAUUAGAAUUCUGAAAAAAUGAAAAUUAUAUAGUCAUAUGGGUACUCUUUUUGUAGAUCUCGGAAAGAGCUUUCCGAAUAUAUAAAGUUUGUAAAUUUUUGAUGAGCGGUUU